rnacentral:rRNA from 1 species
CGAAGAACCUUACCAGGUCUUGACAUCCGAUGCUAUUCUAGAGAUAGAAAGUUACUUCGGUACAUCGGUGACAGGUGGUGCAUGGUUGUCGUCAGCUCGUGUCGUGAGAUGUUGGGUUAAGUCCCGCAACGAGCGCAACCCCUACGUUUAGUUGCUAACGCGUGAAGGCGAGCACUCUAGACGAACUGCCGUUGACAAAACGGAGGAAGGUGGGAUGACGUCAAAUCAUCAUGCCCCUUAUGUUCUGGGCUACACACGUGCUACAAUGGCCGGUACAGACGGACGCAAAGCCGCGAGGUGGAGCAAAUCCUAAAAAGCCGGUCUCAGUUCGGAUUGCAGGCUGCAAUUCGCCUGCAUGAAGUCGGAAUCGCUAGUAAUCGCAGGUCAGCAUACUGCGGUGAAUACGUUCCCGGGCCUU